rnacentral:misc_RNA from 1 species
UGACGAAGUUCGCAAGCGAAGUGAAUGUGAUCCACCGGCGGGACACUCUGCGCGCGUCGAAGAUCAUGCAGGAUCGGGCCAUGAACAAUCCGAAAAUCAAAUUCAUCUGGAACACGGCCGUCGAGGAGGUUCUUGGGGCUCCCGGCGCCGGAGUUUCCGGCCUUCGGCUGGUGAACCUGCAAACGAAGCAGAAAUCCCAGUUGGAGGUGGACGGGUUGUUCAUCGCGAUCGGGCACAAUCCCAACACGGAGAUUUUCAAAGGCCAGAUCGAUCUGGACGAACUGGGCUACGUUCGAACCCAGCCCAAUUCCACUCGAACCAAUGUC